rnacentral:lncRNA from 1 species
GGAGUUGUGGGUAACCACUUCCACCACCUUGGACACCAGAUGAGAACUGUUGUGGUUUCAUUGGCAUGUUACUACCAUAUUGAGAGGGUGAUCCACUGUAAGAAUAUGGUUCAGUAGGCCCAGAUGGUGGAGGAACAAAUCCAGUAGAAAAGCCAGAACUGGAUCUGCCAGAUGGGACCUCAUACAUGUGCGAGGGUGGCCCAUAGAACUGUUGAGAGGGAGGUGCCCCAGAAAGUGGCUGAGAGGGUGGCUGAGAGGGUGGCUGGCGAAGGCUUGGAGGGUAGGUCUGAGGUGGAACAUAAGACGUUUCUUCAGGAUGAUGACCUAAUGGAGGUUGGUGUUGAGGAGGAGGAUUAAUGGGUGCAAUAGAAUGGUGCUGUUGCGGCAGCUGGGGUGGCUGAGAAUAUUGUGGAAGAGAGGCUGGUUGAUAUUGUUGAUGUGAUGGAGCUGCAGGAGGCGGCUGUGGUUGCUGGGUCGGUGGUAGUUGGUAUUGCUGGUUGGGAGCUUCUUGUGCCUGACCAGGUGGUUGAAAGUAGGGCUCUCGCUGUGGGAUGGAAGGAAUCUGGUUCGGAGGGAAUUGACUAGGUAGCUGAGCUGGAGGAGACUGCAUAUUGAGUUGGGGAGGAGGUGGCGGAGCAUUAGGGGGAGGGAGUGCAGGAAGUGUUUGAGGAGUAACAGGUGGAGGAAGUGGUUGGUGAGAUUGCUGAGGAGGAGAUGCUGCUUGCUUUGCAGAAUCUAAGGUCACAGUGUUCUGGGUUUCUGAUUGCUGGUCUGCUUUGGACACUUGAAGCUUUGCAAGCUGUAGGUGAGCCUCCACUAUUUCUUGUUUGUCCCUUAAAACCUGUACACCAGUUUGCACC